rnacentral:rRNA from 1 species
UACGGAGGGUGCGAGCGUUGUCCGGAAUCACUGGGCGUAAAGCGCGUGUAGGCUGCUUCGCAAGUCGGGUGUGAAAGCCCUGGGCUCAACCUAGGAAGUGCACUCGAGACUGCGAAGCUGGAGUCCUGGAGAGGAAGGCGGAAUUCUCGGUGUAGAGGUGAAAUUCGUAGAUAUCGAGAGGAACACCGGUGGCGAAGGCGGCCUUCUGGACAGUGACUGACGCUGAGACGCGAAAGCGUGGGGAGCAAACAGG